UAGCGUAUAUUAAAGUUGUUGCAGUUAAAAAGCUCGUAGUCGGAUUUCGGGGCGACGCAUUCGGUCUGCCGAAGGGUAAGUACUGGGUGUUGCGUCCUUCCUUCUGGAGACUGGUUCUACUCUUAACUGAGCGGGGUCAGGAAACAGAUCGUUUACUUUGAAAAAAUCAGAGUGUUUAAAGCAGGCCAAGAUUGCUCUUGCAUGGAUUAGCAUGGGAUAAUGAAAUAGGACUUUGGUGCUAUUUUGUUGGUUUCGAGCACUGAAGUAAUGAUUAAAAGGGACAGUCAGGGGCACUUGUAUUCCGUUGAGAGAGGUGAAAUUCUUAGACCAAUGGAAGACAAACUUCUGCGAAAGCAUUUG
rnacentral:rRNA from 1 species